UUCAGUAAGCCAUAUAUUGCAAAUUAAGUGUAAACCUCACCCGAUCUCACAUACACAAAACAAAUUGCUACUUACCUUAAGAUUAUUUGACCACGUCACAAACACUAAGUUUCUAGAGUUCUUUUUAUCUUCACAGUCACAGAAUGCACUUUAUAAACAUUCUCAAGAGGGAAGGAGAAAGUUAAACAACUAAAAUUACAUGCAAUUACAACUUGAGACAAAAAAAUGAGGAAUAAGAGAUUCAAAUCAAAAUUGGUUCACGAAGUUCACUGAACGGUUCAUGGUCUAAAAAUACACCACACUCUCACCCCAUCCACCACAAUCAGCGUCAUCAGUUAGGGAAAUUUUUCAACACAGAAAGGCAAACCAUAUCUCUUUCUGAAUUCAUCAAAAUGUACUAAGAUACAAAAGAGAUGAAAGCUGAUAACC
rnacentral:lncRNA from 1 species